rnacentral:rRNA from 1 species
UGGGGAAUCUUGGACAAUGGGCGCAAGCCUGAUCCAGCCAUGCCGCGUGAGUGAAGAAGGCCUUCGGGUUGUAAAGCUCUUUUACCAGGGACGAUAAUGACGGUACCUGGAGAAUAAGCCCCGGCAAACUUCGUGCCAGCAGCCGCGGUAAUACGAAGGGGGCUAGCGUUGUUCGGAAUUACUGGGCGUAAAGCGCACGUAGGCGGAUUGUUAAGUCAGAGGUGAAAUCCCGGAGCUCAACUUCGGAACUGCCUUUGAUACUGGCAAUCUAGAGUCCGGAAGAGGUUAGUGGAAUUCCCAGUGUAGAGGUGAAAUUCGUAGAUAUUGGGAAGAACACCAGUGGCGAAGGCGGCUAACUGGUCCGGUACUGACGCUGAGGUGCGAAAGCGUGGGGAGCAAACAGGAUUAGAUACCCGGGUAGUCCCUGAGCGGGCUGGCAAGGCGCAU